AUCAUCUAGAACACUUGAUAGUUCAUCCUUAAGAACAUAUCUAUAUGAAGUGAUGGCAAUCGUAAAUAGCCGACCCAUAACAACACAAUUACUCAACGAUCCUACUGGACCACAACCACUUACACCCAACCUUCUUUUGACAAUGAAAUCGUCAAUAAUACUGCCUCCACCAGGAGAUUUUGUAAAGGAAGACCUUUACCUUCGUAAAAGAUGGCGUCGAGUGCAGUAUCUGGCUAACGAAUUUUGGCAAAGAUGGAAAAAGGAAUAUUUGUUGAGCCUACAACAAAGACAAAAGUGGCACAAAACAAACAGAAAUGCGAAAGUCAAUGACAUCGUCAUAAUACAAGAUGAUACAAUGCAGAGAAAUGAUUGGAAGCUGGCAAAAGUUACUGCUGUUUACCCAAGUCAAGAUGGCUGCAUACGAAAAGUGCAGCUACUAAUAAGUGACUCCACAUUAGAUAACCAUGGAAGGAAACUGAGUAAACCUGUCCAUCUAGUAAGGCCAAUCCACAAGACUGUCACAUUACUGGAAGCUGAUUAGCACAGUUCAAAUUUCAUUCUGGAAAUCACAAGUGAUUGGUGGGAGUGUAGCUGCCGUCAGAAGCAAUGCUUAUAUAUUACACUCUAUAAACAAAAACUUUACAUUAAAAGGUCAAUAAAUAGUUAAAAUGUUCAAAUUAAUCAUUAGAAUAAAUAAGUAAUGUACAUUUGUUGUUAUUGCAUGUUAAUUCAUUUAAAGUUAUUUAACUAAAACUAUAAGGGGGAGGGGGGAACCUUUUCUUGUUAUGUUUAGCUUGGGAAUUAUUUCAUUGUUGCAAUGAAGAUAUUCUUCCGAUCCACUACAAGUAGUUCAGCCACAAGGUGCUGUGCUAAAACACGUUUUUAAGGAUUCAAAAGUACAAAGAAGUUUGUUAAAGAGAAACUGCAACCCUUCAAGUUUAUUCCUCUUGAGUUAGAGAGGCCAAUGAGUUCUGACGGCAAUAUUGGGACAUAAAGGAGUGCAAGGCUAGAAUGUACAAGACAUACUACAGACUCGUGUCCGAAUAAAUGUCAGUUAAAAUCAA